ACAGACGGAAACGACUGCUAAUACCGAAUGUGUUCCGGAGACCGCAUGAUUUCCGGAAGAAAGGAUGGCCUCUAUUUAUAAGCUAUCGCCUGAAGAGGGGUUUGCGUCUGAUUAGGCAGUUGGUGAGGUAACGGCCCACCAAACCUACGAUCAGUAGCCGGUCUGAGAGGAUGAACGGCCACACUGGAACUGAGGCACGGUCCAGACUCCUACGGGAGGCAGCAGUGGGGAAUCUUCCGCAAUGGACGAAAGUCUGACGGAGCAACGCCGCGUGAGUGAUGACGGCCUUCGGGUUGUAAAGCUCUGUGAUCGGGGACGAAUGGCUGGUAUGCUAAUACCAUAUCAGAGUGACGGUACCCGAAUAGCAAGCCACGGCUAACUACGUGCCAGCAGCCGCGGUAAUACGUAGGUGGCAAGCGUUGUCCGGAAUUAUUGGGCGUAAAGCGCGCGCAGGCGGCUUCUUAAGUCCAUCUUAAAAGUGCGGGGCUUAACCCCGUGAUGGGAUGGAAACUGGGAGGCUGGAGUAUCGGAGAGGAAAGUGGAAUUCCUAGUGUAGCGGUGAAAUGCGUAGAGAUUAGGAAGAACACCGGUGGCGAAGGCGACUUUCUGGACGACAACUGACGCUGAGGCGCGAAAGCGUGGGGAGCAAACAGGAUUAGAUACCCUGG
rnacentral:rRNA from 1 species